UAAGCGGAGGAAAAGAAACUAACAAGGAUUCCCCUAGUAACGGCGAGUGAAGCGGGAAGAGCUCAAAUUUGAAAGCUGGCACCUUCGGUGUCCGCGUUGUAAUCUCGAGAAGUGUUUUCCGUGCUGGACCAUGUACAAGUUCCUUGGAAUAGGACGUCAUAGAGGGUGAAAAUCCCGUACUUGACAUGGACGCCCAGUGCUUUGUGAUACACUCUCCACGAGUCGAGUUGUUUGGGAAUGCAGCUCAAAAUGGGUGGUAAAUUCCAUCUAAAGCUAAAUAUUGGGGAGAGACCGAUAGCGAACAAGUACCGUGAGGGAAAGAUGAAAAGCACUUUGGAAAGAGAGUUAAACAGUACGUGAAAUUGUCGAAAGGGAAGCGCUUGAAGUUAGACAUGCUUGCCGGGAUUCAGCCUUGCUUUUGCUUGGUGCAUUUCCCGGUGUGCAGGCCAGCAUCAGUUUUGUUUGCCGGAUAAGGGUGAGAGGAACGUGGCCCCUCGGGGUGUUAUAGCCUCUCACUGGAUACGGCGGAUGGGACUGAGGACCGCAGUGUGCCUUUAUGGCGGGCCUUCGGGCACCUUCACACUUAGGAUGCUGGCGUAAU
rnacentral:rRNA from 1 species